rnacentral:tRNA from 1 species
GUGGGUAUAGCUCAGUGGUAGAGUGUGUGCUUAGCAUGCACGAGGUCUUGGGUUUAAUCCCCAGUAUACUCU